rnacentral:rRNA from 1 species
GUCUAUGGCCAGACCACCCUGAAUUCACCAGAUCUCAUCUGUUCUAGGAAGCUAAGCAGGAUGGGGGCCUGGUUAACUCUUGGAUGGGAGACCGCCUGGGAAUACAGGGUGCUGUAGGCU